GUCUAAAUAUUUUCCUAUUUAGUCUAACCUGCCCAGUGAUUUUUUUAAACGGCCGCGGUAUCUUGACCGUGCAAAGGUAGCAUAAUAAUUAGUUUUUUAAUUGAGAACUUGAAUGAAAGGUUGGACAGAGAAUAAACUAUCUUUAAUUUUAAAAUUUAAUUUUACUUUUAAGUAAAAAGGCUUAAAUAAGUAAAAAAGACGAUAAGACCCUAUAAAUCUUAAAUAUAGAUUGAUUUUAGUUUUAUUAUUUAUUAAUUUUUUUUCUAGAGUUAAUUAUAUUAUGUUGGGGCAACAAGAAUAUAAACUUAAUUAUUCUACUAUUAAACAAAAAUAUUUGUAAAUUCAAGAUCCUUUUUUAAUGAUUUUAAGUUUAAGUUACUUUAGGGAUAACAGCGUAAUUUUUUUUAAGAGUCCUUAUCGAAAAAAAAGUUUGCGACCUCGAUGUUGAAUUAAAAUUUAUUUUAAGGUGCAGAAGCCUAAAAAUUAAGUCUGUUCGACUUUUAAAAUUUU
rnacentral:rRNA from 1 species